AGAGUUUGAUCAUGGCUCAGGACGAACGCUGGCGACGUGCCUAAUGCAUGCAAGUCGAACGCAGGGCGCUUGCGCCGCUGCGUGGCGCACGGCUGAGGAUCACGUGGGUAUCAACCCCGGAGUGGGGGAUAUCGCCGCGAAAGCGGUGGCAAGCCCGCAUACGCUCGGCAACGAGGAAAGCGGUAACGCGCUCUGGGACGAGCCUGCGGCCCAUCAGGUAGUUGGCGGGGUAAUGGCCCACCAAGCCCGUGACGGGUUCCUGGUCUGAGAGGACGACCAGGCAGACUGGGACUGAGACACGGCCCAGACUCCUACGGGAGGCAGCAGCAAGGGAUUUUCCCCAAUGGCCGCAAGGCUGAGGGAGCAACGUCGCGUGCAGGACGACGGCCUUCGGGUUGUAAACUGCUUUUGGGGGGGAAGAGCCUGACGGUACCCUCCGAAGAAGCCCCGGCUAACUCUGUGCCAGCAGCCGCGGUAAUUC
rnacentral:rRNA from 1 species